ensembl:lncRNA
CGUUGCGGGGGAAUUUGAGCGGGUGCUGAUGGUUGUGUUGGUGUCCGCAGAUUGUCGGCCAAACUGCAGGGUGAGUUUGAGGGGUUUUUUUUUGGGGUGUUGUGUGGUUUUGGGGUGAGAAAGGUGGGUUUUGGGGGGGGUUUGUGCGGGGGAAGGUGAGGGAAAGAUGGCGGGAAACGUGAGGGGAGAAAAGGUGGGGGAAACAUGAGGGGAGAAAAGGGCGGGAAACGUGAGGGGAGAAAAGGGUGGGAAACGUGAGGGNNNNNNNNNNAAGGGCGGGAAACGUGAGGGGAGAAAAGGGUGGGAAACGUGAGGGGAAAAAGGGCGGGAAACCUGAGGGGAGAAAAGGGCAGGAAACGUGAGGGGAGAAAAUGGAGAGAAACCUGAGGGGAGAAUAGCACAAAAUGCAAGGGGAAAAGUGGUACAAAACAUGAAAAGAAAGAAUAGUGGAAAUGCGAGGAGGAAAAGCAAGAAAUGUGAGGGGAGAAAAAGUGGGAAACGUGAGGAGAAAAAAAGCAGAAAAUGUGAGGAGAAAAAAAGGGUGGGAAAUGUGAGGAGAAAAAGUGGGAAAUGUGCGGGGAAAAAAAGCAGAAAAUGUGAGGAGAAAAGAGGUGGGAAAUGUGAGGGGAAAAAGAGCGGGAAAGGUGAGGGGGGGAAAGGAUGGAAAAUGUGAGGGGAAAAGUGGUAGAAAACGUGAGAGGGGAAAAAAUGGUGCAAAAUGUGCGGAGAAAAAGAGUGGGAAACAUGAGGGGGGAAAAGCAGAAAAUGUGAGGGGAAAAGUGGUGGGAAAUGUGAGGGAAAAUGUGGCUGAAAAUGUGAGGGGAAAAUAGCAGAAAAUGUGAGGGGAAAAAGGGUGGAAAUGUGAGGAGCAAAAAGCAGAGAAUGUGAGGGGAAACGUGGGAAAUGUGAGAAGAAAGGGAAGAAAUGUGAGGGAAAAAUUACGAAAAGAGUGAGGGGAAAAAAAACUGGGAAACAUGAGGGGGGAAGGAGCAUUUUUGGGGUUCGUUUUGGGUCUCAUGGACUCUCUCCCGUUUUCGGGAUCCCCAUUUCGGGACUCUCCCAUUUUUGGGGUCCCAUUUGGGGCUGACACUCUCCCAUUUUCGGGAUCCCCAUUUUGGGGCUCUCUCCCAUUUUCAGGAUCCCCAUUUCGGGACUCUCUCCCAUUUUCGGGGUCCCGUUUGGGGCUGACCCUCUCCCAUUUUCGGGGUCCCGUUUCGGGGCUGACCCUCUCCCGUUUUCGGGAUCCCCAUUUCGGGACUCUCCCAUUUUCGGGAUCCCCAUUUGGGGCUCUCUCCCAUUUUCGGGGUCCCGUUGGGGCUGACACUCUCCCAUUUUCGGGAUCCCCAUUUUGGGGCUCUCUCCCAUUUUUGGGAUCCCCAUUUCGGGACUCUCUCCCAUUUUCGGGGUCCCGUUUCGGGGCUGACGCUCUCCCAUUUUCAGGAUCCCUAUUUCGGGACUCUCCCAUUUUCGGGAUCCCCAUUUUGGGAUUCUCCUGUUUUUGGGUCCCGUCGGGGCUGACCCUCUCCCGUUUUUGGGGUCCCGUCGGGGCUGACCCUCUCCCGUUUUUGGGGUCCCCAUUUUGGGACUCUCCCCUUUUCGGGGUCCCAUUUCGGGGCUGACCCCCUCCCAUUUUCGGGGUCCCAUUUCGGGCUGACCCUCUCCCAUUUUCGGGGUCCCGUUUCGGGACUCUCUCCCAUUUUCGGGAUCCCCGUUUCGGGGCUGACGCUCUCUCCUGUUUUCGGGGUCCCAUUUCGGGACUCUCUCCCAUUUUCGGGGUCCCGUUUCGGGGCUGACCCUCUCCCAUUUUCGGGAUCCCCAUUUUGGGGCUGACCCCCUCCCAUUUUCGGGGUCCCGUUUCGGGGCUGACCCUCUCCCGUUUUCGGGAUCCCCAUUUCGGGACUCUCCCAUUUUCGGGAUCCCCAUUUCGGGACUCUCCCAUUUUUGGGGUCCCGUUUGGGGCUGACGCUCUCCCAUUUUCGGGGUCCCAUUUCGGGGCUGACCCUCUCCCGUUUUUGGGGUCCCCAUUUUGGGACUCUCCCAUUUUCGGGGUCCCGUUUGGGGCUGACCCCCUCCCAUUUUCGGGGUCCCACUUCGGGACUCUCUCCCAUUUUCGGGAUCCCCAUGUCGGGGCUGACCCUCUCCCAUUUUCGGUAUCCCCAUUUCUG